GAUGAAGAACGCAGCGAAAUGCGAUAAGUAAUGUGAAUUGCAGAAUUCAGUGAAUCAUCGAAUCUUUGAACGCACAUUGCGCCUGCUAGUAUUCUGGCGGGCAUGCCUGUUCGAGCGUCAUUUCAACCAUCAAGCCCUAGGCUUGCGUUGGAGCCCUGCGGCUGCCGCAGGCUCCCAAAUCCAGUGGCGGGCUCGUCGUCGUACCGAGUGCAGUAAACAUCCUCGCUCAGGGAACGUGACGGGUUCUUGCCGUGAAACCCCCCACAUAUCAAGGUUGACCUCGGAUCAGGUAGGAAUACCCGCUGAACUUAAGCAUAUCAAUAAGCGGAGGA
rnacentral:misc_RNA from 1 species